rnacentral:rRNA from 1 species
AACGAACGCUGGCGGCGUGGAUUAGGCAUGCAAGUCGAACGAGAAAGGUUUCUUCGGAAACCGAGUACAGUGGCAAACGGGUGAGUAACGCGUGGGAAACCUGCCCUUCAGUUGGGGACAACACUCCUAACGGGGUGCUAAUACCGGAUACCAUUACGGGGUCGCAUGGCCCUGUGAUGAAAGGCGGCCUCUGCUUGCAAGCUGUCGCUGAAGGAUGGUCCCGCGUCCCAUUAGCUAGUUGGUGAGGUAACGGCUCACCAAGGCUACGAUGGGUAGCCGGCCUUAGCGGGUGACCGGCCACACUGGGAUUGAGAUACGGCCCAGACUCCUACGGGAGGCAGCAGUCGAGAGGCAUCCACAAUGGGGGAAACCCUGAUGGUGCGACGUCGCGUGGGUGAUGAAGGUCUUCGGAUCGUAAAGCCCUUUCAGCAGGGACGAUAGAACAGCAUGAUAACACCAUGCGGUUUCAGACGGUACCUGUAGAAGAAGCUCCGGCUAACUCCGUGCC